rnacentral:tRNA from 1 species
UGGACGAGCUGGGAAUCGAACCCAGGACCUUUCGCAUACAGAUGAGUAUGCUAAGCGAACGCUCUACCAACUGAGCCACACGCCC